rnacentral:rRNA from 1 species
CCUACGGGUGGCAGCAGUGAGGAAUAUUGGUCAAUGGUCGAGAGUCUGAACCAGCCAAGCAGCGUGAAGGAUGACUGCACUAUGGAUUGUAAACUUCUUUUAUAUGGGAAUAAAACGUUCCACGCGUGGGAGGUUGUAUGUACCUUAUGAAUAAGGAUCGGCUAACUCCGUGCCAGCAGCCGCGGUAAUACGGAGGAUCCGAGCGUUAUCCGGAUUUAUUGGGUUUAAAGGGUGCGUAGGGGGAUUGUUAAGUCAGUUGGCAAAGUUUGCGGCUCAACCGUAAGACUGCAGUUGAAACUGGCAGUCUUGAGUACAGUAGAGGUGUGCGGAAUGCGUGGUGUAGCGGUGAAAUGCAUAGAUAUCACGAAGAACUCCGAUUGCGAAGGCAGUAGACCGGAUUGCAACUGACACUGAGGCACGAAAGUGUGGGUAUCGAACAGGAUGAGAUACCCCGGUAGUC